rnacentral:rRNA from 1 species
UACGGGGGGAGCAAGCGUUGUUCGGAUUUACUGGGCGUAAAGGGCGCGUAGGCGGUCAGCACAAGUCAGUUGUGAAAUCUCCGGGCUUAACUCGGAAAGGUCAACUGAUACUGUGCGACUAGAGUGCAGAAGGGGCAACUGGAAUUCUCGGUGUAGCGGUGAAAUGCGUAGAUAUCUGGAGGAACACCGGUGGCGAAGGCGGCAUUCUGGACCGACAUUGACGCUGAGGAGCGAAAGCCAGGGGAGCAAACGGG